rnacentral:rRNA from 1 species
UACGUAGGGUGCAAGCGUUUGUCCGGAAUUAUUGGGCGUAAAGAGCUCGUAGGCGGUCUGUCGCGUCUGCUGUGAAAACUCAGGGCUUAACCCUGAGCUUGCAGUGGGUACGGGCAGACUAGAGUGCGGUAGGGGAGACUGGAAUUCCUGGUGUAGCGGUGAAAUGCGCAGAUAUCAGGAGGAACACCGGUGGCGAAGGCGGGGUCUCUGGGCCGUAACUGACGCUGGAGGAGCGAAAAGCAUGGGGGAGCGAACAGG